UGUCAGGUGGAGAAAGCUGUACUCGAGGAUCUCAAAAGUGCCUUCCAAGUCAAAAUGUUGUAGAAUCUUGGACUCUCUUUUGACGGAGUCGGAGUCACAAUGGAAUCAAGCAAAGAAAGAAUACAGAACGCUGAGGCCAUCAUACAGACCCUCAUUUCUCAACUGCGAGCCAUGCAGAAGAAGCUGCCUGGCCUCACUCCUGCUCAGCGUCCUCUUCAUCGCAUUCAUCCUGCCCCCUCCUUGCCCCCUGUCCCGCCUCUUGUCCCUGUGACUUCCCUGCCUCUCCAGCCUAUGCCUGCCUCGGUCACCAGUUACUCAGACCAACCUGGUUCUCUUCCUACCUCAUGCCCAGACCACCUGCCUCCUCUAACGGGUUUCACCCCUUCCCAGUUCCCUGCCUGGGGCCCUUCCACCCUUGCCUGCCCCCCUGCUCCUCCCACCACCCGCCUCCCCCCUCUCUCUGUCACCUGCAUCCGCCGCCCCUUCCGACUGGCCCCCCUCUCCUUCCACCCCUCUCCCGUUACCCCUGCCCCUCCUCCUCACCCUACUUCUUCCCCCACCUUCAUGGGCCUUGGGCCCAGAUAGGCCUCCCCUGCUCCUGCUAGGACAUCUGCCCCCAACCAGCCCUCACCAGGCCUGAUGAUUCCCACAUUCCAUCAUGGAAGCCUUGCGUCCCUCCCAGAACUCCUGGGAAGGUGAUGUCCAGCAUCCUGGUGACAUGGUGAACAUGGGGGGCACUGGAUGAUGACCAGCAGGCACACAACCAAGAGGGGCACUUCCCUCAGGUGUGACAGUUAUCAAUUUGUUGCCUCUCAACUCCAAAUCUACCCUUCAUUACCUGCUCCGCAGUAGUAAGAUAGCUCUUUGAAGCAUUUCUCACUUGCAUCGAGAACAAUAUUGAGCCAUGGCAGUAGAUGGCGCUGGAGGGACGCGGCAGCAGGAAGAAACUUCCCUUCCGGGGCCCAGCGCGCUUCUGUUUGCUUCAGCUCCUCUGACUGCACCUGCUACCAGAAAUGAACUUGUGGGCACAUCCUCUGCUCUGCCCCAGCUAUGCAUCCAGAUGUGGGCUCACGGCCUCAGGCCUAGCCCAGUGCCCACUUCACUACGGCCCACUUCAUGGACUCUGCAAACCUCAGGCCUCACAUGCCCUGCUGGAGAACAGACCACCGACUCCCCUGGACACCAGCCUGCCGGCCUCAGCCCACUGGCUGCCAGCGGGAGUGUUUCCAGGGGCCACCCAGACACGGGCACAAGCACCCCAGGCCUUCACCACUCUGCCUGUAAGUAGGUUCCUGACUUGGACUCUCCCAGGGCACUCCCCGCCAGCCUCUGCCACCAGCAACCCAGAGGGACAUUUGAUGCUGACCUGGAGACCAUCGGCCAGGCCUUGCACAUUUUUCAACAAGGUGUGAAUCCCAGCUUGAAGGAGAGGACCCUCUUCCCAUCUGUUCCCUCCUUGGAUACUCUCCUGCCUUAGAAGGUUCUGUACAGUUCUCUUAGGGCUACUCCACUGCUAAGAAGCCAUGUGAAGAAUUUUCUCCUCAAGGGAACUGGCAAGAAUGUUGGACGAAACAGCCGGCAGUCCUCCCAGCCGUCCACCUGCCACCUAGGAGCCACAGCAAGUUUGGGAAGAUGGUGCACAUAGAAAAUGUAUAGAGCGCAGAUAUA